rnacentral:rRNA from 1 species
AUGAACGCUGGCGGCGUGCCUAAUACAUGCAAGUCGAGCGAACAGACGAGGAGCUUGCUCCUCUGACGUUAGCGGCGGACGGGUGAGUAACACGUGGAUAACCUACCUAUAAGACUGGGAUAACUUCGGGAAACCGGAGCUAAUACCGGAUAACAUUUAGAACCGCAUGGUUCUAAAGUGAAAGAUGGUUUUGCUAUCACUUAUAGAUGGACCCGCGCCGUAUUAGCUAGUUGGUAAGGUAACGGCUUACCAAGGCGACGAUACGUAGCCGACCUGAGAGGGUGAUCGGCCACACUGGAACUGAGACACGGUCCAG